rnacentral:rRNA from 1 species
AUUGAACGCUGGCGGCAGGCUUAACACAUGCAAGUCAAGCGGAGUGAUGGUGCUUGCACUAUCACUUAGCGGCGGACGGGUGAGUAAUGCUUAGGAAUCUGCCAUUUAGUGGGGGACAACAUUCCGAAAGGAAUGCUAAUACCGCAUACGUCCUACGGGAGAAAGCAGGGGAUCUUCGGACCUUGCGCUAAAUGAUGAGCCUAAGUCGGAUUAGCUAGUUGGUGGGGUAAAGGCCUACCAAGGCGACGAUCUGUAGCGGGUCUGAGAGGAUGAUCCGCCACACUGGGACUGAGACACGGCCCAGACUCCUACGGGAGGCAGCAGUGGGGAAUAUUGGACAAUGGGCGGAAGCCUGAUCCAGCCAUGCCGCGUGUGUGAAAAAGGCCUUUUGGUUGUAAAGCACUUUAAGCGAGGAGGAGGCUACUAGUACUAAUACUACUGGAUAGUGGACGUUACUCGCGGAAUAAGCACCGGCUAACUCUGUGCCAGCCGCCGCGGUAAAAC